rnacentral:rRNA from 1 species
UACGAAGGGUGCAAGCGUUACUCGGAAUUACUGGGCGUAAAGCGUGCGUAGGUGGUUUGUUAAGUCUGAUGUGAAAGCCCUGGGCUCAACCUGGGAAUUGCAUUGGAUACUGGCAGGCUAGAGUGCGGUAGAGGGCAGUGGAAUUCCCGGUGUAGCAGUGAAAUGCGUAGAGAUCGGGAGGAACACCAGUGGCGAAGGCGACUACCUGGACCAGCACUGACACUGAGGCACGAAAGCGUGGGGAGCAAACAGG